AAAACUUGUCUAUCACAAAAGUAAACUUUGGUUGACACGUUACAGUGACGCAUUGCAAAGGUAUCUUGAAGGCAUGAACCAGGCGAAAGACGAACGAAGAAAGAAAGCGACCGGGGAAGCACAUAUUCUAAUUGUUCUCCAAUUGUUCGCGUGAACAUUUUUAUUUAUCUCUGCUGCUGAACAAUGGGUGUAAAAAAGAUAAGACCGCUAACUACUUCAUUGUUACAGACCACACAAACACGUUCACGUCAGUGUA
rnacentral:lncRNA from 1 species